UUUGUGCCAAUUCUAGACAACUCCAGAUGUGUGUCUUUCCCACCAGUAUCUGCAGAGACUUGGCCCUGGAGACAGACUUACGCUUGCCAACAGGCAGCCUCCCUGUGCUUUCAGACCCAAGGGUCGAGUUCCUGCUGCCACACUCUCAUCCCUGGCUGUGCUGCCAGAUGUGCUGCAGGAUGGAGGGCAGACGUGCUGGCCCUGAGUCUAAUCUGUCAUCAGCUGAGAGGCCGCUGGCUCCCGCCGUGCCUGUGAACCGAAGCUGCUCUGUUUGUUCCUCUCCCCUCGUCCUGAGCCAGGCAGUGCCAGAAGGAGGGAUUUCUUCUUAAGGAGCUGGGAAAAAUGAACCGACUAAUAGAAAUGGUGAGACUGAGAUUGGCUACUGCAGGUUGAAAAGACAGAUGCAAUGGAGAAACUCCUUUCCACUCCUCAAUUCAAUAAGUCUUUGAUUCGCUAGCUUUGUUCACAUCCAGGGCAGCCAGAAGAGAACAGUCACCUUGUAUUUUUGUACCUGAUGAGAAAACUCCAGAUUGUAUGUGUGCACUGGGACAGUUCAAUGUGUGUCUAUUCCAACUUCAAAGAGGCUUUCAAUGCUCUUUGAGAUGUAGGGUGUGAGGAAGGGUGAGAACUGCUAAAGCUAGCCACAUCCUCAUUAAAUCUUUGCCCUCUCGGAGCAAGCAUGCAAGUGGAGAGAAUAGAUGAUAUGCAUGAGCAACUGAGCAUCUGUGAUCUCAUGACCUUUGACUGUUGUAUUAUGGGAAAUGUAUUCUUUGGUUGCUAUGCUUUUCUAAUUCAUUUGUAUUUUCCUUCAGUGACUCCCUUGUAUUUUCUUUGGUGCUCCCGUGUAACGGUUUCAAGGAACUACAGAUAUCUCCAAGUUAAGCAUGCAUACAAUAGCUUUAAUUAAAUGUUUGUGAGUAUCCCACAGUAAAGCAAGGGAAAGCAAACAGUUUUGUACGCACUUGUACCUAUCCCUUCUGAGCCCUGGCUGGGGUGGAGGCGUUUGCACCAUUGCCCUUUAAGUCUAUUUCCAAGCUGUGAAAUGAAGGCAAUCAGGUCCCACUGCUCUGCACGUAAGCGCUUCAGGAAUUUCACUCCCAUUAAAAAGCUACAGAUCACCUGUGAAAGGUACAAUGCUAAAACCUUUCAGACUAGGCAAGAAGAAAUAAAAAUAAAUUAGGGGAGAUGUUUCAUUACUCCACUUACAAAACAGGAGAAUGAGGCUAAAAAUAUCCUUAACAAUUUCUUAAAAUACACUAAAAUGCUGUAG